GCAGCUGAAGGACAUGGGGCUGAUAGAACUGCUCCAGGCCACAGCUGCCUCCUGCAAGGUGCCCCUUCCCUGUCCUUCAGCUGCUGCCUGUUCAGUGUCACCGUGCCACACACAGCCCUGCUGCACCCCAACCUCCCACUACAGCACCAUGCAGCAGGUGAGGGCACAAGGAUGGUGGUUGGCAUAGGAGAGGGAGAGCUGGGGAUGAGUUUGCCUUUGGGACCAGUGCAGGGCAGGCAGGGUUUGGGCACACAGCUGCUCUAUGCCACACAACGUUGUGCAGCAGCACCAGGACAGCAUGAAUCCCCAGGCACUGCACAGUGCAACUGGAGCAGCGAGCUUAAGAAAUGAGGAGGAUGGGGGGCAGGGCAGGAUGGAAUAAGCUAAAUAAAACCCAAUAAAAAUAAACCCCCAAACCCUCUCUGCUCCUCUUUGAUUCCUAUGGUGGCGGUAGUGAUGGGGUGUUAUUUUUUUUUACCUCUUUUUUUUUUCUUCUCUUUUUCUUUUUUUCACGCCAAGAUUACUAAUUGUCUGAGCAUCUCAAUUUGCUGGUUUCACUUAAUCACAGGCACUUUGGAGAUUAUCAGCCUUCCCCACAUGUUCGCUACCUUACUUCCCAACUCCCCGGCCCACGGGGAGCGCCUGCAGGAGCGACAGCAGCACCGCGUCCCUCCGGCUGCGCUGUCAGAGCCUGAUUGCCUCCAAGCCACCGAACUUCCCUUGGAUGGGGGUUGCCAGGAGUGCAGGGGGGGCCCGUUGGCAGCUCCCGGCAGCUCCCAGCCUUUGAUUUGCACAAAAGGAAAGGAAGGAGAGGCUGUGAAAUAACUGAAGCCGACGGAAAGGUGAAGUGCUGGGAGAGAUGAAGGAGGAGCGUUUGAAGGCAUUUUCUUCCUUUUUGUCACAUCUCACUGCAACGCGUUUCAUUCCUGGAGCUCAGCUCCUUCCUGGAAAGCCUGAACUGCUGUGGGGUUGAGGGGGGCUCGUUGUGGGGGUCUCAGCCCAUCUUUUGGUUCCUGGGGCCCAACCAGCAAUGGGGAUGUGAGCUCUGCCACAGCUACCCCAGGUGCCACCAAGACAUGUGGGCUCCAUGGGGGUCCCUGUGGUUGGGGUGGGUUGUGUGCUGCACCCCCUGCACUGUGAUACUGCGGUUAGAGGCACAUCCCUCCCCGCAUGAAGGGGGGGGGGGGGGGGGGGGGGGGGGGUGAGCGAGGAGCAUCAAACAGAAUAGACAAUGUGGAAAAAAAAAGAAGUGUCUGAAAUGAAAUUUCCC
rnacentral:lncRNA from 1 species